AAAGGGGAGGACUCAAUGAGCAAAUCCCUCACUUUAAGCCAAAUUGUGUGGGUCCAACACCAAACGGUGCUGUUUUAUUCCAAUUACUUAACCCAUUUUUUAAACCAUUUUACCCUUUGUUUAAAAAACAACCCUAAAUUUUGAGAACCCCCUUUUGCUCUCCCCUCUGCUCCUCGUCGAAAGGCUUAUGCCAAGCCUUCAACUUCUUCGAAAAUCGCUUGCGACCAACGAAGCAGGGCCCUCCAGUGGUGCGAGCGCGAUGCAACUCCGGCCAUGAAGUUGUGGAGAACGAGGGGCGUGGAGCACGGGCGCGAGCAUGGAGCGGGGCACACGGGGAUCGUGCGUGGAGUGCCGACGUGGGGAUUGUGGCGUGGGUGACCUAAGUUUCCCUAGGUUAGCCGAUUAGAUUUAGAUUUUGGGCCAUGGGUAUUGGGCCUGUCUCAUAUAAUUGGGUUAGUUUCAUUUUGGGUUUUGGGUUUGUAUUUAGGCUGGGCAAUUUUGGCCCAUUACAUGUCAUAUUCAAUAAAAUUGCGAUGAUUAAUUAAUUUAAUUUUUACUUCAAA